GUUGCUGCAUGUAGGAACAGGUGUUUCAUCUAUCAGUAAUAAGAUUUUUUUCAGCAGUUGACCCAGGUACCACAUAGAUUCCAGCUGACACACAGGAUGGUUUAGUACAAGUCUAAACUGUCAUAAAGAGCCCUGGGUUUGAGAAGCCAGUCAGCCAUGCAAGUGAUACAAAUCCAGGAAGAAUUACUGGUACUUUGGAAGACAGACUCAUCAAGUAGGCAUGUUUCCUGACUAAAUGAGAGAACUGUUGGUGCCAUUCAGGAGAUUCAUGGAAAGCAGUUCAUGCAGAAAUAAUCAGAUGCACAACUAGAAGAGUGGAAAAGAAGUCAUGGAACAGAUCAGAAGAUGCAAGAUGUGAUGACUAACAGUAAAAGUCUUAUGCUCCAUGUAGGAGGAGCAGAUGCUAGUCAUACCAGCUAACACUGGUAACAACUUUCAAGGGCUAGACAUUUAUUUUCAGUUGAAGAGCUUCCAGAGGGAGAAGUUGGAAACAGAAGCAGUCAGUACAUAUAUCCCUGAGAUGAGCUGACAAAUUCAAAUGAUUCCUGGAUGCAAGACACAACCUAAUCAGAAGAGCUCUGCAAUGUCUGUGCUGUCUGGUCCUCACUGAUGUAUCAGCCCUGCCUGCGAGGAUUGUGGCCAGACUGAGCAGAGAGGUAAGAUAAAGGCACAGAGUGCAGAUGUGUGCUAAAUGUCUGUCUCCUCAUCCUCUCUACUGUGCUUCACAGAAGAGGCUUCCCUGUGCCUCCUCACUACCUAAGUGGGUAUAUUGACCAUGAGUCUCAGGUCAUGUGUGCCACCACAUUAGCCCAGGCUGCAACCUGCCAACACUGUCCAGCUGAAACAGCUCUUCCUCAGUAACAAACAUGGAUUCUACUGGGAAAGCAUUAACCAUCCCUCUGGCUCACCGAAGCCAACUGUUCAUUGCCCAGCUGCAGAAAAAGCAUUGUAUCAGCUUCUCAGAAACAGAAUACCUGAAGCAUGGAUAGCAGUUGCUAAGGAAUCACUUUGGGAGCAGGCUGACCUGAGAUGCAUGAGCGGUUGUUGUUAUAAUAAGCCUAAACUCUAUCACCAGGCAGAUUCUUGAGUUUUGUUUCAGAGCAGGCUGGGAAAGUCGCAAGUUAGAAACUUGCGAGGAUAUAACAGGACAGUGAUUAUUCUGUAGAAAAUGACAUUUAAUCUCAUUCAGUGUAAACAGCCCAGCACAGUUAUCAGUUCCAGCAGCAUCACAAAAGUUAUCCAUUUUCAAAUUACACCACUAACUAUUUGUCCAGAGAACUCACCAGGAGCCUGAGGAAAGUCCUCCAUCCAGCAUACCACAAAUACAACGCAGUUGAGGUAAGGACUACACAGGCAGCUGAUGAGAACUGUGAGCCUUCUUGGCCUAAGAGGACUUUUCAUCACAUUACCCACGCUCAUCUCUGUUCCAGAAUUUUCAGUUUGUUGCUACCAGUCUCCAUUAGUCUUUAUCUAAAUGUCAGUUAUGGGAAUUUCCAAGAAAGAGGGGAAAGAGAAUCAGUAAGGAUCACCAUUUAUAAAGAACUGUGUGUCCUGAAAUAAUGUAAGUUCCAAAGUCAAGAAGCUGCUUUAACAAACAAAAAGCUGAUUAACCCCAGGUUGCUUUGGCAUAGAGGAAAAGUGGCCUGGGACAGCGCUGGAAUCUUUCAGCAUCUAUUUCCAAGCCAACAAGAGACAAGCCCCACAAGAAAAAAAUAACAGCUUGAUUCUGUGAUGCAGUUCCGUCAUGAUAAGCUUUCCAAAGUGCUUUGCAAAAGCUGUCACAAAAAAGGACAAUUCUGCUAAAAUACCAUGUGGGCAAGCCACCUAAGUAAAUAGGAGGACUCUGCAGUACAACUCUUACAGACUGGCUCUGUCUCUGAUCUCUGAGACUUAAAAAGGCCUUAGGCACAGGGCAACUAUAACCUGUUGGAGUGAAAACACUUCUUGCCUGAAUCUCCCUGUAGCACUGAAGUCUGCAGAUAUUUGGGCUUGUUCCCCAGGCAAGUUCAGUUCCAAGUCAGUUAAUGCAUUUUUUAGCACUUUGAAAUUUUCAGCGUAUUUGUCUGUGUGUAAACGGCAGCUUUAAGCUGGUAGACUAUCUUUUCUCAGGAGGUGCUGUCAGGGAAAAAAGACUUCACUGGGGUUGUGUUCCAUUUCUAAUAAAAACUGCACCAUAAUCAAGCAGUUCUCCAAAAGGUGCCAGCUCACCUCUCUGGUUAAAAUGAACUGGCAGCCCGAGUCCUAUUUCCUGCCACAGUUCUGUUACUGACAGGAGAGGCUUUUUGAAGUUCACAAAUGAGAACAUCAAAAGCAACAAGACUAAAAAGAAGGGGAGGAGAGCUUCCCUUCCUUCAGUGUAAGAAGAUUAAGUGUGACAAACAGUGACUGGCUCUUAAGAAGGGCAGAAAAAGAGAGAAAUGCCUGUGCAGAAUUCAGGGAGCAUUAGUCUUAUUUCCUUGACUGUGAUGUUCUUUAACCCUCCUCUGUGAGGGAAAAUAAAAUGUGUGUGACAGCUGGGGUCCAGUCCAUUAGAAACACAAACGAUCCACUAGUGGACCCUGCUGCUGACUUAACUACUGCCCCUGGGAUACAACACCUGUACAUGCUUGUCCUUUGUC